rnacentral:rRNA from 1 species
GACGAACGCUGGCGGCGUGCCUAAUACAUGCAAGUUGAGCGAUGAAGAUUGGUGCUUGCACCAAUUUGAAGAGCAGCGAACGGGUGAGUAACGCGUGGGGAAUCUGCCUUUGAGCGGGGGACAACAUCUGGAAACGAAUGCUAAUACCGCAUAACAACUUUAAACAUAAGUUUUAAGUUUGAAAGAUGCAAUUGCAUCACUCAAAGAUGAUCCCGCGUUGUAUUAGCUAGUUGGUGAGGUAAAGGCUCACCAAGGCGAUGAUACAUAGCCGACCUGAGAGGGUGCUCGGCCACAUUGGGACUGAGACACGGCCCAAACUCCUACGGGAGGCAGCAGUAGGGAAUCUUCGGCAAUGGACGAAAGUCUGACCGAGCAACGCCGCGUGAGUGAAGAAGGUUUUCGGAUCGUAAAACUCUGUUGGUAGAGAAGAACGUUGGUGAGAGUGGAAAGCUCAUCAAGUGACGGUAACUACCCAGAAAGGGACGGCUAACUACGUG